UACAGGGGGUGCAAACGUUGCUCGGAAUCAUUGGGCGUAAAGCGCACGCAGGCGGUUCAGUCAGUCUGUAGGGACAGGGCACAGCUCAACUGUGUCAGGCUUACGGAAACUGCUGAACUUGAGGGCUUCAGAGGGAUGGGGAAUUCCGGGUGGAGUGGUGAAAUGCGUAGAGAUCCGGAAGAACACCAAAGGCGAAGGCACCAUCCUGGGGAGUCACUGACGCUCGGGUGCGAAAGCCAGGGGAGCGAACGGG
rnacentral:rRNA from 1 species